GUGAAGCCAAGCUUGCUUGGUGGAUCAGUGGCGAACGGGUGAGUAACACGUGAGCAACCUGCCCUGGACUCUGGGAUAAGCGCUGGAAACGGCGUCUAAUACUGGAUAUGAGACGUGAUCGCAUGGUCGUGUUUGGAAAGAUUUUUCGGUCUGGGAUGGGCUCGCGGCCUAUCAGCUUGUUGGUGAGGUAAUGGCUCACCAAGGCGUCGACGGGUAGCCGGCCUGAGAGGGUGACCGGCCACACUGGGACUGAGACACGGCCCAGACUCCUACGGGAGGCAGCAGUGGGGAAUAUUGCACAAUGGGCGAAAGCCUGAUGCAGCAACGCCGCGUGAGGGAUGACGGCCUUCGGGUUGUAAACCUCUUUUAGCAGGGAAGAAGCGAAAGUGACGGUACCUGCAGAAAAAGCGCCGGCUAACUACGUGCCAGCAGCCGCGGUAAUACGUAGGGCGCAAGCGUUAUCCGGAAUUAUUGGGCGUAAAGAGCUCGUAGGCGGUUUGUCGCGUCUGCUGUGAAAUCCCGAGGCUCAACCUCGGGGGUGCAGUGGGUACGGGCAGACUAGAGUGCGGUAGGGGAGAUUGGAAUUCCUGGUGUAGCGGUGGAAUGCGCAGAUAUCAGGAGCAACACCGAUGGCGAAGGCAGAUUUCUGGGCCGUAACUGACGCUGAGGAGCGAAAGGGUGGGGAGCAAACAGGCUUAGAUACCCUCCUAGUCCACCCCGUAAACGUUGGGAACUAGUUGUGGGGACCAUUCCACGGUUUCCGUGACGCAGCUAACGCAUUAAGUUCCCCGCCUGGGGAGUACGGCCGCAAGGCUAAAACUCAAAGGAAUUGACGGGGACCCGCACAAGCGGCGGAGCAUGCGGAUUAAUUGGAAGG
rnacentral:rRNA from 1 species